CAGUCGCCACGGUAAUACGUAGGGUCCGAGCGUUGUCCGGAAUUACUGGGCGUAAAGAGCUCGUAGGUGGUUUGUCGCGUUGUUCGUGAAAACUCACAACUCAAUUGUGGGCGUGCGGGCGAUACGGGCAGACUGGAGUACUGCAGGGGAGACUGGAAUUCCUGGUGUAGCGGUGGAAUGCGCAGAUAUCAGGAGGAACACCGGUGGCGAAGGCGGGUCUCUGGGCAGUAACUGACGCUGAGGAGCGAAAGCGUGGGGAGCGAACAGGAUUAGAUACCCCAGUAGUCCCUGUCUCUUAUAA
rnacentral:rRNA from 1 species